GGGGGUAUAACUCAGUUGGUAGAGUGCUUGUCUUGCAUGCACAAGGCCCUGGGUUCAAUCCCCAGCACUUCGA
rnacentral:tRNA from 1 species